UUAAGUGGAGCCAUCAAACAGUAAGUUGGAAGUGUAAAUCUCCACAGGUCUCCGUCUGCGACCCAGAAGCAGCCUCUCCAGAGAGGGGCCGACCUCCGGGUCUACAGGAGAUACCGCUGUGACAGUCACAGCUGGCUGUCCCUGCAUCCGUGAUUCUUACCACCCGGGAAGCUUCCAAGGGUUUAAUUAAGGCGGAUCCUCCUCAUUGUUCCUUGCAGAGCACGUCUGGCAGAGCGGUGCAGCAGAUGAGCUGAGGCACGCCGAGAGCCCGGCACCAGCCCCACGUGCCUCCCUUACGGGCUCAGCCCCCUUCCAAGGAAUCCUUCGCAUUCCAAGCGGCUGCUCUCAGGGCCGUGCACAGAAAGCUGAAUGGCUGAACCUCAUCGCCGGCAGCUUCAGCCCAGCUCGGGGCCGCGGCCAGAGCUGGGUGAAGCCCCUGCCUUGUGCAGCACGGAGCAGCUCUUCCCUUUGAGAAGGACUUAUCAAAGUGCUGGGGAGGGAGACCUCGCCACCUCCUCUCCGCCUCCCUGCCAGAGCCUCAGCAGCCCACAGCAAUCCUUCCCUCCCCGAUUGCGAUUGAAAGAGAAAACAAACCCGGUCUAACUUUGAUCAGCACUGAUGGGGCCUUCCUGGAGCCAAGUGUGUAGGUUUUUCAAUCCAUGAGUAGCAUGACACAGCUCAAGUGCAGUGGUAAGGUGUCUCUGAAAAAGCUGUGGAAAAAUGAGUCUCCCAAGUCUCAUCUGGGUGCUUGUAGGCACCAGUCUAUUAAUGGUGCCUUGUGUAAAGAGGAUGCUGUGGAAAUAUUGCAAGCAGCCAGCUACACGGGGAGACAAAAGUGUUGUAUAACUUGAUAAAUAUAGUUCUGAUGCUAUCUUUGAAAUAUUUAGGCUGAGUAAAAAAUCCAAAGUAAAAAUGUCUGCUGUUUUGAAAUGCAGCACUAGAAUGGCGUGGAGGGAGCUGGCAAAAGGGAUUUAUGUCUUUUCUGCAGGAACAAUGUACUAGUAUAAAUCCCUUGUAUUGUGUGUAAUCACAUAGGUUACACCUUUCAGUGGCCAAAGCAUCCAGAAUUCAGUUUUAUCACUGCUCGUCAUAAGAGACAGAAAGGACAAAGCUACAUAAAGAAGCUGGCUGCCACCAGACUGGGGUACCAACAGUAAAAGCAACAGCACUUUCUGCGCUCCAGUUUUGAGCUGGCUUAAGGAAACAAACCAAAACCAAACAUUAGUUAUUGCCAGAAGUCAUUCUGUCUUUUUCAAAUAUGCUCACUCAGUUUUGCGCUGCACAUCAAUAACUGCUUCUUAAUUCUGCUCAAAUUAUGCUUUCCAAAGUGAACUGCUCACACUUUUCUAGGGAGAAAUAAUAACAUAUUUGAUAACUUUUCUUAAAUUACAAGAAGCAAGACAAAGCAAUCUGAGAUAUUUUUAGCUUAAUGUAUUGAUGAAUGGAAAUGUAAAACCAAGUGGAUUGAAACAAGUUAUAUUUAAAUUGUAUUUAGGAAUUUUACUGCAUGCUAUUUUCCUUCAGAUGCAACUGCAUAAAUACAAAAGGAAGAGAUAAAGCCAUAUAAAAAUUCAAACUAAAGCUGAUUGAAAAAUAUGGGGCUUAUAAGAAAACACACUCUUGGUACAGGGAUGGUUUCUGUGUUCCAUCAGAACCUUAUUUUUUUCAGGAAAUGUCGUCACCAGCUGAAAUCCAGAGACAGGUAUAUAAAGGGAGGACAGCCUAGGAUAACAUUUGAAAAGAAAAUUUCAGGAUCUCCCUGAAGAAAGUCACUGCUCAGAAAAUCACUGUCCUCUCACACACUUUCCACCUCUUGCCUCAUCCCACUGUUCCACAGGUCUUCCUUCAGAAGCAGCCACCAGCACCUCCACCUCCUCAUCCUCACUGUGUAUGGGCAGGCUCCUUCUCAAUAGGGUUUCCUAUGGAUUGCAUUAUGCCUUAAUUAUGCAUCGAAGUAUUUGCAUGAAUCAUGUGAAAGACGGGUAUUAUUAUUUUGUUUCAUAGGCGGUAGCUCAGUCAGCUGAAUCCAGCACCAUUUGGAUUAUGAAUAGCACAGCCAUUAAUACACUGUGGUAUAUGCGCCAACAUCCAUUUUUUUCCAAAACAAAUAUUACUUGAUUUCUGGUCUGAUGCUUCACGUAAUGACAUAACAAUUGUAUAAGGAGUUUGUUUGGUGUUUUCAAACCCUGGGCAUUUUCCCCACCAAAAUUUGUAUUGUGGCUGUGAAGAUGGAGAGCAGCAGUUAAAAAGACUGAAUUUUCAUUGUCCUUUAUUUUGCUAACCACUACAAAAUUUUAAGCUUUUCUGCAAAAAGAAAAUUUAUGGUGCCCAUAGAAUCAAAACGAGUGUGUUGCUGACUGAGUGAGCAUUUGAUCAAUGCAUCACAGCAAAGCUAAAGAGACAGGCUGAACAAGAGGUACAAGGUUUUAAACCAAGGCAGUAACAUUGUUAUGCUUACUUUGUGAGGCACUAUUUUAUAUAACAGAUCCUAAUUCCACUCUAGCUGGAUAACUACUGUGAAUUAUAAUUUUAUUUUCCACUUAGUGGAGCCUAUUGACUUGGACUAGCUCUUGCCAGAGAACCAGUUUUGCAAUAAAGGCAGUAAAUUCUGA